rnacentral:rRNA from 1 species
GGUUCGAUUCCGGAGAGAGGGCCUGAGAAACGGCCCUCAGGUCUAAGGACACGCAGCAGGCGCGCAAAUUGUCCCCUGGCAACACUUUGCCGAGAUAGUGACAAUAAAUAACAAUGCAGGGCUCUUACGGGUCUUGCAAUUGGAAUGAGUACAAUUUAAAUCCCUUAACGAGGAUCAAUUGGAGGGCAAGUCUGGUGCCAGCAGCCGCGGUAAUUCCAGCUCCAAUAGCGUAUAUUAAAAUUGUUGCCGUUAAAAAGCUCGUAGUCGAACUUCGGGCUCUGUCAGCCGGUCCGCCUUCUUGGUGUGUACUUGUUUGACGGAGCCUUACCUCCUGGUGAACGGCGAUGUCCUUUACUGGGUGUCGUCGCAAACCAGGACUUUUACUUUGAAAAAAUUAGAGUGUUCAAAGCAGGCCUUUGCCCGAAUACAUUAGCAUGGAAUAAUAAAAUAGGACGCGCGUUCCCAUUUUGUUGGUUUCUGAGAUCGCCGUAAUGAUUAAUAGGGAUAGUUGGGGGCAUUUGUAUUCCGUCGUCAGAGGUGAAAUUCUUGGAUUGCCGGAAGACAAACUACUGCGAAAGCAUUUGCCAAGGAUGUUUUCAUUGAUCAAGAACGAAGGAAGGGGGAUCGAAAACGAUUAGAUACCGUUGUAGUCUCUUCUGUAAACUAUGCCAAUUGGGGAUCGGUACAGGAUUUUUAAUGACUGUAUCGGCACCCGAAGAGAAAUCUUUAAAUGAGGUUCGGGGGGGAGUAUGGUCGCAAGGCUGAAACUUAAAGGAAUUGACGGAAGGGCACCACCAGGUGUGGAGCCUGCGGCUUAAUUUGACUCAACACGGGGAAACUCACCAGGUCCAGACACAAUAAGGAUUGACAGAUUGAUAGCUCUUUCUUGAUCUUGUGGUUGGUGGUGCAUGGCCGUUCUUAGUUGGUGGAGUGAUUUGUCUGGUUAAUUCCGAUAACGAACGAGACCUUAACCUGCUAAAUAGACCAGCCGGCUUUGGCUAGCUGCUGUCUUCUUAGAGGGACUAUCAGCGUUUAGCUGAUGGAAGUUUGAGGCAAUAACAGGUCUGUGAUGCCCUUAGAUGUUCUGGGCCGCACGCGCGCUACACUGACAGAGCCAGCGAGUCUACCACCUUUGCCGGAAGGCAUGGGUAAUCUUGUGAAACUCUGUCGUGAUGGGGAUAGAACAUUGCAAUUAUUGUUCUUCAACCGAGAAAUNCCUAGUAAGCGUGAUUCAUCAGAUCGCGUUGAUUACGUCCCUGCCCUUNACCCCCGCCUC